GUGGGUGUAGCUCAGUGGCAGAGCAUGUGCUUUGCAUGCACGAGGUCCUGGGCUCCAUCCCCAGUCCCUCCU
rnacentral:tRNA from 1 species